rnacentral:rRNA from 1 species
UACAUAGGUCUCAAGCGUUGUUCGGAUUCAUUGGGCGUAAAGGGUGCGUAGGCGGCGCGGUAAGUCGGGUGUGAAAUCUCGGAGCUUAACUUCGAAACUGCAUUCGAUACUGCCGUGCUUGAGGACUGGAGAGGAGACUGGAAUUUACGGUGUAGCGGUGAAAUGCGUAGAUAUCGUAAGGAAGACCAGUGGCGAAGGCGGGUCUCUGGACAGUUCCUGACGCUGAGGCACGAAGGUCAGGGGAGCAAACGGG